rnacentral:rRNA from 1 species
UACGUAGGGCGCAAGCGUUGUCCGGAAUUAUUGGGCGUAAAGAGCUCGUAGGCGGCCUGUUGCGUCCGCUGUGAAAUCCCUGAGCUCAACUCAGGAACUGCACUCGAAACUGCUUAUCUUGAGUGCCGGAGAGGAAAGCGGAAUACCUGGUGUAGAGGUGAAAUUCGUAGAUAUCAGGUGGAACACCAGUGGCGAAGGCGGCUUUCUGGACGGUAACUGACGCUGAGACGCGAAAGCGUGGGGAGCAAACAGG